GGACGAACGCUGGCGGCGUGCUUAACACAUGCAAGUCGAACGGAAAGGCCCUGCUUUUGUGGGGUGCUCGAGUGGCGAACGGGUGAGUAACACGUGAGUAACCUGCCCUUGACUUUGGGAUAACUUCAGGAAACUGGGGCUAAUACCGGAUAGGAGCUCCUGCUGCAUGGUGGGGGUUGGAAAGUUUCGGCGGUUGGGGAUGGACUCGCGGCUUAUCAGCUUGUUGGUGGGGUAGUGGCUUACCAAGGCUUUGACGGGUAGCCGGCCUGAGGGGGUGACCGGCCACAUUGGGACUGAGAUACGGCCCAGACUCCUACGGGAGGCAGCAGUGGGGAAUAUUGCACAAUGGGCGGAAGCCUGAUGCAGCAACGCCGCGUGCGGGAUGACGGCCUUCGGGUUGUAAACCGCUUUCGCCUGUGACGAAGCGUGAGUGACGGUAAUGGGUAAAGAAGCACCGGCUAACUACGUG
rnacentral:rRNA from 1 species